rnacentral:lncRNA from 1 species
ACACACACUAAGUCAUCUCCAAGUUCAAAGCAUUCUGCAAACAAUCGCAAGGCAGAGCCACCAGAAACAUACACCUGAUUUUCAUGACAAAUACAGUAAUGCUGUAUUAGCUAGUGGAGCCACUUUCUCUAUUGCUGUAUGGACUUAUGUAGCAACUCAAAUUGGAAUAGAAUGGAACCUGUCCCCUGAUGGGAGAGUCACUCCGAAGGAAUGGAGAGAUCAGUAA